UGCGCCGGCCGCCGCCGCCGCCGCGACGCCGAAGCCGGCAGCCGACUGCGGCGGGCGGGCGCAGCGCGCCGCCAUCUUGCCGUACGGCGCGGCCGACCCACGUCCCGGCCGUGUCGCCGCGCUCCCUCGGGGCGGGCCGGGCGGCGGGCGGCGAGGCCGGAGCCUGGCGGCGCGCUGGGCCGGCCCGCGAUGGUGAUCUGUUGCGCGGCCGUGAACUGCUCCAACCGGCAGGGCAAGGGCGAGAAGCGCGCCGUCUCUUUCCACAGGUUCCCCCUAAAGGACUCAAAACGCCUGAUCCAGUGGUUAAAAGCUGUUCAGAGGGAGAACUGGACCCCCACCAAGUACUCCUUCCUCUGUAGUGAACAUUUCACCAAAGACAGCUUCUCCAGGAGGCUGGAGGACCAGCACCGCCUGCUCAAGCCCACAGCAGUGCCCUCCAUCUUCCACCUGCCUGAGAAGAAGAGGGGGUCUGCCAGUCAUGGCCGCACCCGGAGGAAGGACGCCAGCAAGGCCUCAGGGGCCGUGAGGGGCCGUGGGAGCACAGCAGCUGGGAGAGGGGCUGUGAGCGCCACGCCGUCCUCCAGUGGAACCCUGAUGGCCCAGCCAGAGACCCGCAAGCUGAAGCGAGCCCCUCUGCAGGGGGAUGCCACACCCAGGACCACCCCAGACCCUGGCGGCCAGGAGCAAGCGCAGCAGUCUCUGGGAAAGACCCAAGGAGAUGGACCAGCGGCCCCUCGGGCGGGCGGCCAGGCAGAGGCAGAAGCCUGUGCUGAGGAAGCCAGGAGCCAGGAUGCUGCUGCCUCCACCCAGGGGGCCGGGGCAGACAGAAGCGGGGUGUCCAUGGAUGACUUUACCCCCCCAGGGUCGGGGGCAUGCAGGUUCAUCGGCUCGCUUCAUUCUUAUAGUUUCUCCUCUAAACACACUCGAGAGAGACCGUCUGUUCCCCGAGAGCCCAUCGACCGGAAGAGGCUGAAGAGAGACGUGGAGCCCAGCUGCAGCGGGAACAGCCUGGGGCCGGACAAGAGCGUGGCCCAGAGCCCCCCGCGGUCCUCGCUUACAGCCACGCCACAGAAGCCUUCCCAGAGCCCCUCCGCCCCUCCCACUGACGUCACCCCGAAGCCAGCUGCGGAGGCCGUGCAGAGCGAGCAGAGCGACGCCAGCCCCAUGUCCAUCAACGAGGUCAUCCUCUCGGCCUCGGGGGCCUGCAAGCUCAUCGACUCGCUGCACUCCUACUGCUUCUCUGCCCGGCAGAGCAAGAGCCAGGUGUGCUGCCUCCGGGAGCAGGUGGAGAAGAAGAACGGAGAGCUGAAGAGCCUGCGGCAGAGGGUCAGCCGCUCCGACAGCCAGGUGCGCAAGCUGCGGGAGAAGUUGGACCAGCUGCGGAGAGCAAGCUUCCCCUACCUGAGCUGCCUGCUGCCCCCCAGCCGCGAGCCUCCCAAGAUGAACCCAGUGGUGGAGCCGCUGUCCUGGAUGCUGGGCACCUGGCUAUCUGACCCUCCGGGAGCUGGGACCUACCCGACCCUGCAGCCCUUCCAGUACCUGGAGGAGGUGCACAUCUCCCACGUGGGCCAGCCCAUGCUCAACUUCUCGUUCAACUCCUUCCACCCGGACACGCGCAGACCCCUGCAUAGAGAGUGUGGCUUCAUCCGCCUCAAGCCCGACACCAACAAGGUGGCCUUCGUCAGCGCCCAGAACACAGGUGUUGUGGAGGUGGAGGAGGGCGAGGUGAACGGGCAGGAACUGUGCAUCGCGUCCCACUCCAUCGCCAGGAUCUCCUUCGCCAAGGAACCCCAUGUGGAGCAGGACUUGGGUUCUUGCUCCGUAUUUCCUGUGCUCCUGCGGCUUCCUUUACAGUCAGACCCCUGACCUCCCAGAUGGGUGCACCUGGUGACCGCUGCAGUCCUGGCUCUCUACGGGAUUACCCGAAAAUUCAGGCUGAAUUCUGAAGGCAAACUUGAACAGACGGUGUCCAUGGCAACCACCACGCAGCCACUGACCCAGCAUCUUCACGUCACCUACAAGAGGGUGACGCCGUAGCCAGCACUCCAGAGCCCGGGCCUGCGAGGCUGCAGCUGUCGGGCGGCUCUGCGCAGACGCUCCUGGGGUGGUGUAGAGAAGCCAAAUAAAAGGCCUUUAUUUUUAUGGCUGA